rnacentral:rRNA from 1 species
CCUACGGGAGGCAGCAGUGAGGAAUAUUGGUCAAUGGGCGGAAGCCUGAACCAGCCAAGUCGCGUGCAGGAUGACGGCCCUAUGGGUUGUAAACCGCUUUUAUACGGGAGUAACGCGCCUUACGCGUAGCGUUUUGCAUGUACCGUACGAAAAAGGAUCGGCUAAUUCCGUGCCAGCAGCCGCGGUAAUACGGAAGGUCCGGGCGUUAUCCGGAUUUAUUGGGUUUAAAGGGAGCGUAGGCGGGAUGUCAAGCGUGCUGUGAAAUGUCCGGGCUCAACCCAGGCCUUGCAGGGGAAACUGGCGUUCUUGAGUGCGCGGGAAGGAGGCGGAAUGCGUGGUGUAGCGGUGAAAUGCAUAGAUAUGACGAAGAACCCCGAUUGCGAAGGCAG